GGAGGACUAGUUCAAUCGGCAGAACGCGGGUUUUUGAAACCCGAUGGUGAUGGUUCGACUCCAUCGUCCUCUU
rnacentral:tRNA from 1 species